GAUAGCCCAACUGUUAGGGCACGCCACCCUGGAUAUGGUGAGAUGCGGGUUCGAGUCCCGUCUGACG